rnacentral:rRNA from 1 species
AAAUAAAGGAGCAGGCAUUAGGCACAACCUUGGUUAGCCCACAAUGCCUUGUUUAGCCACACCCCCAAGGGAACCCAGCAGUAAUCAACAUUAAGCAAUAAGUGCAAACUUGACUUAGUUACACACCAAGAGGGCCGGUAAAACUCGUGCCAGCCACCGCGGUUAUACGAGAGGCUCAAGUUGACAAACACCGGCAAAAAACGUGGCCUAUAAAGUAUUACACUAAAGCUAAACUUCUUCAAGGCUGUUAUACGCAUUCGAAGAAAAGAGAAUCUUCCACGAAAGUGGCUUUAAAUAAUAUCACCCACGAAAGCUAGGAAACAAACUGGGAUUAGAUACCCCACUAUGCCUAGCCCUAAACACAAGUGAAUGUCCUCACCUUUGCUUGCCAGGGUAUUACGAGCUCCAGCUUAAAAUUCAAGGGACUUGGCGGUGCUUUAGAUCCACCUAGAGGAGCCUGUUCUGUAACCGAUAACCCCCGCUUAACCUCACCCUCUUUUGUCACUCCCGCCUAUAUACCGCCGUCGUCAGCUUACCCCACAAGGGAUCAAUAGUGAGCUUAACUGGCACAGCCCAGAACGCCAGGUCCAGGUGUAGCGUAUGAGAGGGGAAGAAAUGGGCUACAUUCACUGUACCAGUGAAAACGAAUAAUACUUUGAAACAAGUACUUAAAGGAGGAUUUAGCAGUAAGAAAGGAGCAGAGUGCCAUUCUGAAACUGGCCCUGAAGCGCGCACAUACCGCCCGUCACUCUCUCCAGUUGGAUGGUGUCUAAUUUAAGAUAAACACAAAACUUUAAACAAAGGAGAGGAAAGUCGUAACAUGGUAAGUGUACCGGA